UGGUAAGACAUGCCCACAUGGACACAGAAGACACAAUCUCUAAUUUAAAAAAAGAGAAUACUGUCAAUAUGAAGCAGGAUCUAACACCCAGGCAUGUCAUCAUCAUCUUCGCAAUGUCUUAAGUGAAUUUAUGGAAAUAAUAUCGUGGUAACUAAUACUCGUGAGCCUGGAGGCCAAGUCCGGUCUACACUAAAGGGGAAGGUCGGCUUACUCCAGAUACGCAACUCCAGAAGAUGAAGAUACACAACAACUUGAGGAUACACAACUCCAGCUACGUUAAUUACAUAGCUGGAGUCAACUUAUUUAAAAUCGAGUUUUCACCCUGUCCACAAAGGGUGUUACACAUAUUGAAUAAAAA